AGAAUACUUGGUAAAAAGUAUAAAACUAAACAACAACAACUACCCAGUAUAGUGCCACAAAGUGGGGUCUGGGGAGCGUAAUAUGUAGACGAGCCUUACCACUACUCGAAAGGGCAGAGAGGCUGUUUCCGAUCGACCUCGGCUCAGUGAAGGAAAGGGAAAACAAAAGCAAAAACAACAGAGCAUUAGUAAGUCCAUCAGAAAUAGCAUAAAUAAUUAUUUAAACAUAAGAACCAUAAACAAAAUAGCAUGCAAUAGUAUCAUACAGUAACUAACAUAAAUAACUACCAUAAGGGAAACACAAUCCAUGUAAAUAAUUAUUUAAACAUAAGAACCAUGAACAAAAUAGCAAGCAAUAGUAUCAUGCAGUAACUAACAUAAAUAACUACCAUAAGGGAGACAUAAUCCAAAACACAAAUCAUCUAUCCGGGUGAGUAGUACGAAAAACUCUAGGGGCCCCUAUCCUACAACCCUAAUACUGUUGAAACACGUUCUCAAGGCUCUGUACUAAAACGUGUGUUCAUAUUUGUAGGUUUUGAUGAAUGACAAACUAUGCGCAAUGGACAUAUGACGAAGCGCGCAAUUGAUAUAUAACGAGAUUCAAGCACAAGACCAAGAUCAAGCAAAGAUAUAAAGUUAUACAUGAGUCGUUCUUUAUUUGUGAUCUUGAUCCGAUAACUUGACUCAAGACUUGGCUUCUCUCGUAAAAACAUUUUUAUCAAAUCAUGCAUAUUUAAUUUAAAGCAAAAUGAUUUUA
rnacentral:lncRNA from 1 species